AGUGAACGCUGGCGGUAGGCCUAACACAUGCAAGUCGAACGGCAGCACAGUAAGAGCUUGCUCUUACGGGUGGCGAGUGCCGGACGGGUGAGGAAUACAUCGGAAUCUACUUUUUCGUGGGGGAUACGGUAGGGAAACUUACGUUAAUACCGCUUACGACCUACGGGUGAAACCAUGGGAUCUUCGGACCUUGCGCGAUUGAAUAAGCCGAUGCCGGAUUAGUUAGUUGGCUAGGUAACGGCCCACCUAGGCGAGGAUCCGUAGCCGCCCUGAGAGGGAGAGCGGCCAGAGUGGAAGUGAGAAACGGUCCAGACUCCGACGGGAGGCAGCAGUAGGGAAUCGGCCGAGAUGGGCGCAAGGUUGACGGAGCAAAGCCGCGGGAGUGAUGAAGGGCUUAGGAUCCUAAAACUAUGUUAUUAGGGAAGAAAAAAUGUGUAAGUAACUACGCACGGCUUGACGGGACCUAAUCAGAAAGCCACGGCUAACUACGUG
rnacentral:rRNA from 1 species